CAGUCAGAGAAAAGAUUGGGCGAUUUAUAAAAAGAAAAAAAAAAAAAAGAAACGCGAUGUCGUAGAUUAUUGGAUAUUGGAAAUGGGAAGUGGGGAAAAUUAAAAGGUCAAAGGGUGGAAGAUCGAAGCACCCAAGUUUAAAACAUAUAUCGAUGUAGUUGAAUUUUGGAGGAUUUUCUAUUUAUAGAAAAAUUCGAUACACGAGUAUUCUUCUAUUGAUCUUUAAAAAUUAAUUCAGUUUUUCAGAAUUCAUAUUUAAACAUCGUAGUAUAAAAUUAUUUUCUUUCUUCGAAUAAAGAGUUUACAUUUUCUAUAAUGAUUUUACAGAAAUUAUAGCAAAAAGAAGUACUAAUUUAAAACAAUUGUGCAAAGAAAUUUCCUAUUAAUUUGAAAUGCUAAUUUUAUGAAUUUAUUAAGAAAAGUUUAAUUUUAAAACAAAGGAAUCGGAUAAUUGGAAAUAGCAUAUUAUUCACCGAUUUCUUAAAUUAUAUCAUACCAAUUCCACGUAUAUCGAGAAAUGAUAUACAGAUAUCUUUAUUAUCGAUAAGAAUGAAACAGAGAUAUUUCUACAUCGAUAAUAUUGUUUCUUUGCAAAAUUAAGUUCUUCGAUGUCAGAUGUCACUAGUUUCGAUCGCGAAUGAUUCGUACAACUUUACCAUACGAGUUCGGAUCAAUUUUGCGAAUAAGAAAAAUUGGGGAUGAAUUCGACGAGUGUAGUUUUCCGAAAUAAAUUCGAAUUAUUUUUAAUUAUGAAAUCAGAAUUGCUACUACAGACGAUUAAUAUAUUUAGAAAUAUAUAUUUACUUUUCCAAUUUCGUUGGAGUAAUAAAAUAAAUAUUUCAUCUCUACCACC